AUUGAACGCUGGCGGCAGGCCUAACACAUGCAAGUCGAGCGAGCGGCGGACGGGUGAGUAAUGUAUGGGGACUGCCCGAUAGAGGGGGAUAACUACUGGAAACGGUGGCUAAUACCGCAUACUAUCGGAUAACCCAUAUGGGAUUCGCUAGUAGGGGGGGUAAAGGCUCACCUAGGCGACGAUCUCGAGCUGGUCUGAGAGGAUGAUCAGCCAAACGGGGACGGAGACACGGCCCAGACUCCUACGGGGGCAGCAGUGGGGAUUAUUGCACAAGGGGGGCAAGCCGGAUGCAGCCAUGCCGCGGGUAUGAAGAAGGCCUUCGGGUUGUAAAGUACUUUCAGUCGGGAGGCGUUACCGACAGAAGAAGCACCGGCUAACUCCGUGCCAGCCGCCGCGGUAAUUC
rnacentral:rRNA from 1 species